UACGAAGGGGGCUAGCGUUGUUCGGAAUUACUGGGCGUAAAGCGCACGUAGGCGGAUCUGUAAGUAGGGGGUGAAAUCCCCGGGCUCAACCCGGGAACUGCGUCCGAUACUGGAAGGCUUGAAUCCGGGAGAGGAAUGGCGGAAUUCCAGGUGUAGCGGUGAAAUGCGUAGAUAUCUGGAGGAACACCGGUGGCGAAGGCGGCAUCCUGGACCGGCAUUGACGCUGAGGCGCGAAAGCCAGGGGAGCAAACGGG
rnacentral:rRNA from 1 species